UCUUUGUAGCUGUAAAGAAGAGAAAAGCU
rnacentral:piRNA from 1 species